rnacentral:rRNA from 1 species
UACGGAGGGUGCAAGCGUUAUCCGGAUUUACUGGGUUUAAAGGGUGUGUAGGCGGACUUUUAAGUCAGCGGUGAAAUCUCCGGGCUCAACCCGGAAACUGCCAUUGAUACUAUUGGUCUUGAAUAUUGUGGAGGUGGGCGGAACGGGUCAUGUAGCGGUGAAAUGCUUAGAGAUGACCCGGAACACCGAUUGAGCGAAGGCAGCCCACUACGCAAUGAUUGACGCUGGAGGCACGAAAGCGUGGGGAUCAAACAGG